CCGUCGAUAGCUCAGUUGGCAGAGCGGUGGACUGUAGAUCCAUGGCAGAGCGGUCGCUGGUUCGACUCCGGCUCGGCGGA